GAUGAAGAACGCAGCGAAAUGCGAUACUUGGUGUGAAUUGCAAAAUCCCGUGAACCAUCGAGUCUUUGAACGCAAGUUGCGCCCGAAGCCAUUAGGCCGAGGGCACGCCUGCCUGGGUGUCACACGUCGUUGCCCCCCCAUCUACUCCUUCGGGAUUGCGGGGGGCGGAUGAUGGCCUCCCGUGCGCCUCGUCGCGCGGUUGGCAUAAAUGCCAAGUCCUCGGCGACGCACGCCACGACAAUCGGUGGUUGCGAAACCUCGGUUGCCCGUCGUGUGCGGUCGUCGCGCAUCGAGGGCUCGAAAAAAUUGCCGGGCUCCGGCUCGGCUUUCAACGCGACCCCAGGUCAGGCGGGGUUACCCGCUGAAUUUAAGCAUAUCAAUAAGCGGAGGA
rnacentral:misc_RNA from 1 species